GGUGGCUCAAUGGUAGAGUGCUUGCCUUGCAUGCAUGAAGUUCUGGGUUUGAUUCCUCAGCACCA
rnacentral:tRNA from 1 species